AGCAUAGCAAUGGAACCUGACAAACCCCACUUGGCAAGGUAGGUGCCACAACGCAAAAGGCACUGCCACUGGUUGCUAACAGCAGCCUUCCACCCUGAGGCCAAGAGAUUUGAAGCAGGGGCUCAGAUAGCAAUCAGAACAUGCAAGGAAAAACAUAUGGGGAAAGCAGAACUGAUCCAUAAGCUGUCUGGACAGGCAGUUCAAUGUGCCUUCAGCACUUGAGGUGGCACAGUGUCCUCUGUUGCUUCGGAAGGACCCGCAUUGGGCUGUGUGGCAAACCCAGCUCUGUCCCCCAAUAGAAACUACAGCCAGGGAGCUGUCCCUCAGCAUCUGCCACCUGAGGCACUUGCCUGACUCUGCCUAAUGGUGGCAAAAGCACUGGGGAAAAGAUGCCCCAGGUCCCAAGCCCUUAAGGGUUUUCAAGGUGAACCACAGCACCUUGAAUUGAGCCCAGAAAUUAACUGGCAGCCGGUGCAAAUCACAUGGGAAUAGUUUGAUAAAAUCAAGUUGGCCAGUUUCUGCCAGCAAUCUGUGCCCCUUGACACCUGACCCACUCUAACACACACACACCCUGUGGUGCCCGCCUUCCCCGCCCCUGUGCAACACAUUUGCACAUAAGUCACGUAGUCAAAACCAAUGCUUGUUUUUAUUGCCCUGAAAUGGUUUAAUGGUAAAUGAAGCCGUCCUUGCAGACAAGCUGGUUUCUGCUUUGAUUUAAAGAUUUGGCAGGGAGACAGCUGCAGCUGAAGAAUUUUAUGCAUUUCUGAAAUCUAAACCAACGGGGCUGUCUACCAGGAGGUUGAGAGAGGGCUUUCCCUCCACCCCACAAGCCUGUCUUGCUAGCGCAUAAAAUUAGAGAUCUGUUGCUAGCGCUCACAUCAGCCAUCAUCAAGGCCUCUUUUGGGCCAAACCUGUGACCCACAAAAGCUUUCUGAGUAACUCAGAGCGAGUGAAUGGGUGAAUUUAGCUAAUGAGCUCAGUUACUUGAAUGAACAGUACUUUGCUUGCGGGUGAAAAGAGGGAAUUUUAUUCAGCUGCACUUACAGGGCUUAAGGACUUCAGAGACUUAACAGAACUUCCCCACCCAGAAGCACCUCACUCACUUAGAGAAAGUCAGAUGUUCCUUGUUUGAAAAGAUUCUCCCUUAUUCUGGGACGUGACAGUUUAUUGCUGGAAAAGGAAAAGGGGGAAAAACGAAUGAGUGUAGCUGAAUGGGCUGAUUCAGUAAUUGCAUAUUUGACGUGUGGUUUUUUUAAUUGGAACUGUCUCCUCCGAAAGAGUGCUGGGCCCUAAUUGUGUGUACCUCUUGAGUUGCAUGUCAGAUGAUCCUUCAGAGACAAAAAUGACGUUCCCAUCAUUGGUGGAAGGGAGGGAGAAUGGAGGCAAGUGGGGCUCCUCCGGGACCUUUCUCAGAAGAGUGAUGAUGUCAUCUGCCAGAGCACCGGGGUCGUUGAGGGAUCCUCGUGGCUCCAGCAUGUGAAUAACAUGGCUUUCAAGUUUUAUCAUUUUUGGGUGGGAGGUUAGCAUAGAGGAAAGCAGAGGAUGAGGAGAUGAAUGAGCGAGAGGCUGGGCCUUUCUUUCUUUUGAUGUAGAAAGGGAAACACAGUUUUGAAUGAAGAGUUUCAGUGGUGGCACUUCUUUGCAAAGUUGUCAAUACAGUGGUACCUUGGCUUUAAAAUUUAAUUCAUUCCGCAGGUCUGUUCUUAACCUGAAACUGUUCUUAACCUGUGACACCACUUUAGCUAAUGCUGCUGCGCCGCCGCCGUGCGAUUUCUGUUCUCAUCCUGAAGCAAAGUUCUUAACCUGAGGUACUAUUUCUGGGUUAGCAGAGUCUGUAACCUGAAGCGUCUGUAACCCGAGGUACCACUGUAUUUCUAAUUAAAGGCCAAAGGUAAGAGCUCAGGGUGUUUAACAUACGAGGUCAGAAGGAAGCUCAAUUGAGCUCAAUGAAAUUUACACCCAGAAAACUCUGCACAGGGUUGUAGUUAUGCUGAUCCCAGACCGGGGGUCAGCAAACUUUUUCAGCAGGGGGCCAGUCCACUGUCCCUCAGACCUUGUGGAGGACCGGACUAUAUUUUGAAAAAAAUAUAUGAACGAAUUCCUAUGCCCCACAAAUAACCCAGAGAUGCAUUUUUAAUAAAAGGACACAUUCUACUCAUGUAAAAACACGCUGAUUCCCAGACCGUCCAUGGGCCAGAUUUAGAAGGCAAUUGGGCCGGAUCCGGCCCUCGGGUCUUAGUUUGCCUGCCCAUGUCCCAGACCCUCCAAGUGUCCCUGUUUUUCAAGAGCAUCCCUGAUUUAGAGAAGCCGUCCCGGUUUCUGAUUUGAUCCCAGAUUUGAUCCCGUUUUUCCUUAGGAUGUCCCCAUUUUCAUUCAAGAAAUGUUGGAGGGUCUGGAGUUAUCCAACCCCCAAGGCAAUCCUGUAUAGGGAAGUUUUUUAAUGUUUAAUGUUUUAUUAUGUUGUAAUAUAUGUUGGAAGCUGCCCAGAGUGGCUGGGACAACCGAGUAAGAUAUGUGGGGUAUAAAUAGUAAAGUUAUUGUUAUGGAAUGGGACGUCUUGAUUUUCAUCGGAGAAACGCUGGAGGGUAUGUGAUCCUAUUAAUGGGUAUUAUGCACUGUGUGUGUGUGUGUGUGUGUGUGUGUUGCAGGGAAAGUCAACAUGAUACAUUCCAGAUUUUUAGACUACGAUUCCCAUCAUCCCUGACCAUUGGCCACACUGGCUGGGGCUGAUAAGAGUUGUAGUCCUAAAAUCUGCUUACCCAUCCCUGAUGCCAUUGGAUCAACAUACCUACAGCAGGCUGGACCUUUCCCACUCUGGCCUAGUGGGUCAUGUUCAGACUGUGAGCUGGAGGUUCCCCACCUCUACCCUAAGCCCCCUCUCCUUUUAAAAACAUUUCUGACUGGGUGCUUCAAGCAGUGCAAGGAAUGUGGGUCUUGCCACCAUUUAAACGUCCCCAAACAGCUGCAAGUAAACUUGCACCAAGUGCAUUGUGGGUAACUGCUUGGGGCACCACUGCUUCCACUGUUGUCUAUUACUGGGAAGCCCCCCAGGGCCCAGUGACAGAAGAGGGGGAAGGAAUCUGCUAAAAUACACUUUCAUACUGUCUAACAUGUGCUCUCUCAUGGUGCCCCAAAAUGCACAUUUUUGGCUGCCGCAAAUGAUUGCAGCCGUGAAAAGUGGUUGUUGUUUUUUCAGGACAAGAUCUUGGCCCCAAAUCACAUUAUCUCAGGGCACCCAAAACGGCCUGAAUCUUCCAACCUUAAGCUCCAUUGGAUGUUCACGAGUUAGUGGGUUGUCAUAUGUCUAGAUUUUCCAUAAAAAUAGCUCAAAGACGGUAACCCUAAGUUAUAGUGUUAUGGGGGGGGGACUUCAGAAAAAGCCUCCGGAAGAAAUCCUGGCCCUCCCCUUGUGUGCAGUCAACUUACCCCCACUGUAGCAUUUGCACAGAUCUCUUUUCACCACCCCUUACUUUUUGUAUCUGUGUUUUGAGUACGGAAGGGUAAAGAGGAAGGAGAGGGGAGCAGUCGAGGAAAAGGUCAUUAAUUGCUAAGUCAACAGGAAACGCCUCCCCUUAAUGGGCACUUGGAGACUUUUUGGCAAAGGUUGAAUGAGGACUUUGCCGAAGGAGGGGCACAGAAACACAAUGGGCAGGUCAACUCCAUCCGGCAGAGCACUGACUCUUGAAAGGCACCUGAUAACGGGCAGACCCAUGAAAGCAAAGCGCUUUUUAAUUGUAUCAUUAAGGGCAGAAAUACACACUUCAGCUGAAGAGUACAUAAAGAACAUUUCCUUCUCCACCCCGAAAAGGGAAAUCCUGUGAGCUGUAGUUUUUGAGGGAAUGUGAGGGGUAAACUAAAGUUCCCAGGAUUCUUUACGGGGGUGAGAAAUGUGCUUUCAAGUUACGGGGUGUGCACAGCCACAGUACAUCAAGAAGACUAAUGGUUUAUGAUGCAGAAGGUAAGGUCCUACGGCCAGAAGAUUUCAUGUGGACUGUCUUAGAUGUUGGUGGCUGUGGCGCAUUAUGACGACGUGUGAACAUGUUCCUCAUCUGUGCCGAUUCAUGGGAAAAUAUCAAGAGCCAGGUGGAAGGUGAGAGGACUGAAACUACAGCUCCUGCUUUGGCUACAUUUUUUGAGCCAAGGUUUAUGAUGAGGUGUGUGGACCAGCUUCUGAUAGAGAGGAACAUCUGGAGAAGGAUUCAAGGGCCCAUGGCAAAAUGCCGCUUUUGCCACCUAAAUCUGAUUUCAGCUUGUGGGGUGUGGCAAACUAUGAUAGAUUAAAAUUACACUCCAGCAUUACUGUGCCAUUUUCUUCAUUCUGAAUCAUCAAACCACCUCCAGUUCACAAGGGACUGUUUAAAUCAGUUGACUCAUCUGUCAAAACCAUGAAAGUUAGUUCUAAACCAAUUUUCAACCAAUCAUCUUGGUUGAGUGCCUUGUGACGUAAUAUAUACCCUUUAACAUCACAUCUCCAAACAAUUUUUUUCAUAACGAAGCAAACUUCCAUAAUGUUGGGGUACCUUUGCCAGGGACCACCAGAUAAAGAGACCAGGCACAAGGCCAUUGGAUAAACUAAAGUAUUGACAUAAAUACAUCAAGAUCUGCAACUCAAAGUCUGUGUGGGCUUAUCUAAUCUGAGGAGGAGGGAAGAGGGGGGAAUUAGAUUCAGUUCCCAUUUAAAAGUGAACUGAAGCAAAUUUGCAUUUUCCAAACACAGCUAUCCUUUGAAAUUCACAUUUCUCCAAAAAUUUGCAAUGGAGUUUUCUGGCUAAGUAAAUCCAAAUUACCCUGCCCUAAUCUGGAAAUCAGAGCACUUAUUCUGGAAGCACAUUCACCCUCUUCUUUCUCUGACUGCAUCCAUCUCCCCCUACUACAAAGGCACAUUUCUGUCUCUUCUGGAAGCCUUGUGUGAAAUGUCAGUAAUUUAAAGCCAGAAGAAAGAUGAGGAAAACCCAAGCGAUCUCACCCUAUAUUCUGCUUCGAAAACAACAAUCACUCUGGUUUAAUAUAGCCCUUUCAAGAGUUCCAAGCCAAAGAUAGACUGGAAAGGGCUUGAGGAGCUGAGGAAAUGUUCUCUUUGUCUCUCCACUCCACUUGCCUUCACUUGAAAGGCUGGCCGCAGCAAGAAGCUGGAUACCAGCCCAAGAGUGUGCAAGGGACAUUCUUCCUGUUGCCUGGGCCAACAGCUCUCAGGCUGACCAAGAAGGAUGGCUUCUUGUGAUGGAACAAAAUCAAGCCCAACCUAAAUAUAAUCAGAUGCUUGUGGAAGAGCUGCAUCAUGGGACCUAUGGCCAUUUCAUUCAUCCCAAAGUGGUAAACUUUGUCUUGCUAGCCAGCAUGGUAAAAAAGGUAAAGGACCCCUGGACGGUUAAGUCCAGUUAAUAGGGUUGCGCUGCUCAUCUCACUUUCAGGCCAAGGGAGUCGGUGUUUGUCCACAGACAGCUUUCCGGGUCAUGUGGACAGCAUGACUAAAUCGUUUCUGGCGCAGCGGAGCACCAUGACAGAAACGAGAGCGCACGGAAACGCCAUUUACCUUCCCGCCGUAGUGGUACCUCUUUAUCUACUUGCACCGGUAUGCUUUCAAAUUACUAGGUUGGCAGGAGCUGGGACAGAGCAACGGGAGCUCACUUCAUUGCAGGGAUUCGAACUGCCAACCUUCUGACCAGCAAGCCCAAGAGGCUCAGUGGUAUAGACCACAACGCCACCUGCUGUGCCAACAGACACACCCAAGUCAGGCUCCCUAGUGAGCAUUUUUGUAUGAAGCUGUAGCCUGAAAAGGCAGAGGGAUUAUCCAUUGCGCUGAGUUUUAAAGUCUGGGACAUGGAGAAAUGGUUUGCCAUAGAGGGAGUUGCAUUCCCCUGGAAAAAGCAGUUCUGUAUAUCCUGGGUUGAACCUUGUCCUCGGAGGCUCAGGUGGCCUUGAUGGCAAGGAGAGGUUUUUUUCCCCAGCUCCAGCUACUCCACCAGUUUUGGCCUUUUUGGACAGAGAUGACUUGAUCACAAGGGCUGCCCUUGAGGACAACUUGGAAACUUCAACUGGUCCAAUAUGCAGAGGCCGGUUUACCAGCUGGGGUUCCCUUUAGAACUCAUUUCACCCAUUUUAUUUUUUAAAAGUCAUGUUGGCUGCCAUUUUGUUUCCGGAUCCAGUUCAAGGUGCUCACACUAGUGCUUAAAUCCCUAAAUGCCCUAGGUCCCAAAUAAAUAGGAGAUGGCAGCCUUCCUUACACACCCUCUUGGGUGUUGUGAUCAGUGGUGGGUGGGCUCUUGUUGGUUCCACUAUCUUCAGAGAUUCACAGGGGUGACCCCUAAUCUUUGGAAUUCUCUCUCCACAGAGGUGCAACCACCGCCUUCAUUGGACAGCUAUUGUUGUAUGCUGAAGACACACCUCUUUGUCAUGACCUUUGGCUGCACGCGCGCGCGCACACACACACACACACAGAACCAUUCUAGAUACAUUUGUAAUUUGUCUAAAACUGUGUUUAAUGCUGCAUUUUUUAUUUUUAUUUUUUGCUGUAACCCACCCUGGGAACGUCUGGUGAAGGACAGGUAAUAAACAUUAUUCUUAUUCUUAUUCUUUGAUAGCCAGCCCACCCCCCAUAGCUGCAACCCAGACAGAACUAGGUUCCCUACUCCUCCCACCUCUGCCAUCUAGCCAGCUCUCUUCCUACCCACCCUUACUCCUUCCUGGUAACAGACCCUGGGUUUGCCACCUAUUGUGCUUUCAGUCCGGGCUCCUUGACUGGUACACUAGUACGGCCCAAGCUUUUUCAAGCACCUGUUUGCCAUGUUCAUUUUGCAGUUUUCAAAGCUACACUUAACACAUCCUCACUACAUCUAAAACCACAUGGUUACUGCUACCUCUCCCCACGAUAUGGCUGCCUAUGGCAUUCUCCAGCUUCGCCUUUGCAAAUCUAGCCAGCCACUCUGCCAGGUCCAACAAACAGGGAGAGCAUGUCAUGGUUACUAAGCAACCAUAGGAGAAGCUCCUCAGUCACCUAUGCGGCUGGAAAGCACAUCCUGGUGUUGCCUAGCAACCGCAACACACAGUCCUCCAUUUUCUAGAGUCAUCAAAAUG
rnacentral:lncRNA from 1 species